rnacentral:rRNA from 1 species
ACCGUAUGUGCCCGAAAGGGGAAAGAUUUAUCGCCAUUGGAUGAGCCCGCGUCGGAUUAGCUAGUUGGUGGGGUAACGGCCCACCAAGGCGACGAUCCGUAGCUGGUCUGAGAGGAUGAUCAGCCACACUGGGACUGAGACACGGCCCAGACUCCUACGGGAGGCAGCAGUGGGGAAUAUUGGACAAUGGGCGCAAGCCUGAUCCAGCCAUGCCGCGUGAGUGAUGAAGACCCUAGGGUUGUAAAGCUCUUUCGACGGGGACGAUAAUGACGGUACCCGUAGAAGAAGCCCCGGCUAACUUCGUGCCAGCAGCCGCGGUAAUACGAAGGGGGCUAGCGUUGUUCGGAAUCACUGGGCGUAAAGCGCACGUAGGCGGAUCGUUAAGUCGGGGGUGAAAUCCCAGAGCUCAACUCUGGAACUGCCUUCGAUACUGGCGAUCUUCGAGUCCGGGAGAAGUGAGUGGAACU